GACGAACGCUGGCGGCGUGCUUAACACAUGCAAGUCGAACGGAAAGGCCCUGCUUGCAGGGUACUCGAGUGGCGAACGGGUGAGUAACACGUGGGUGUUCUGCCCUGCACUUCGGGAUAAGCCUGGGAAACUGGGUCUAAUACCGGAUAGGAGCCAUUUUUAGUGUGAUGGUUGGAAAGUUUUUUCGGUGUGGGAUGAGCUCGCGGCCUAUCAGCUUGUUGGUGGGGUAAUGGCCUACCAAGGCGGGGACGGGUAGCCGGCCUGGGAGGGUGGACGGCCACAAUGGGACUGAGAGAAGGCCCAGACUCCUACGGGGGGCAGCAGUGGGGAAUAUUGCACCAUGGGCGCAAGCCUGAUGCAGCGACGCCGCGGGGGGGAGUACGGGCUUCGGGUUGGAAACUCCUUUCGCUAGGGACGAAGCUUUUUGUGACGGUACCUAGAUAAGAAGCACCGGCUAACUACGUG
rnacentral:rRNA from 1 species